rfam:Physcomitrella patens subsp. patens PHYPAscaffold_52 genomic scaffold, whole genome shotgun sequence.
UCAUAUAUGGACUGUAGAAACACCUGAAGCGAGUGAGGACCAUCCGAUUCUAGCCAUGGAAACAGAUAAGAGCUCAUGUCUGGGUUCCUGUUUCUGUGAUGCUUUUGAGGUUUGCGCAUGAGAUAGCAUCGGUUAGGCUUCAAACUCUUGAGGUGUUUCUACAGGCUACAUAUGA